UCGCCUUACUUGGCGGACGUAGGGCCUGUGGGUGGGAGCGGAGCCUGAGCUAGAUUGCCCCUCCCAUCGAGUGAGUCAAGUUGGCACCUGCUUCCUGCCCCCUGAUUGCGCUGGCGACUUAAACAACCCGCUCUGUAAGAUAGUCUGCCUAGCAACAACUGAUGUUAGCCAAUCAGCCCGCAUCGCGCGCUUUGAACUGAUUGGCCACUGUUACCCUAUAAAAGUAAAUGCCUCUCCCGCCACAAGAGAGAAGCACAGAGGAAGCACAGAGAGAGAUAGAGAAAGUCCACCGGCGAGAAAGGGCUGGUGGCAGAGAGGAGGCCUCGCGGGGCCCACGCGGAGACAAAUAAAGGCAAGGUUGCACACCGCCAGACUUUGUCGUGUGUCUUUCCUGCCGGCCGGGAGCGACCCCGACAACCCGGAGGCUCCGUCCUGAGUCAGGCAUGCGUGGAAUGCCAUAACAAAUGUUCUAAGAACAGAGAGACUCCAAAACUUCCUGCGAUACCUUGAACCAGGUCUUAUGUUCUGCUUUGGGUGGCACCAAAAUCAGGACUCCCUUCAAUCCAGGGAAAGGACUUCUGGUGUUCCUGGUGACUACUAUUUUUGACAUGUAUAGAAGAGACGGCCAUCGACCUGGACUGGCAGGGCCUGGAGUCAAGUGCCCAGACAACCUGCAAGAAGUGGCUGUCCAGCGUCUGUUGCACACAUGUAACCUGACAAGAUGCUCACUGCCUGUCCACGCAGGAGCUGGUCGCUGCUCAGCUCUAUGAAAUUCUCUUUCUUGGACCAUGCGUCCCAAGGCCCUGGUGCUGUCCUCUGGACCCUGUGUGCUCCUGCUGUCCUGACAUGUCCCUGCAAACUUUGAAGAUGGAGUGGCAUCCCUGUGCCUCCCCUGCCCCAGCUGCUUCCCCACAGGGGCCAGCCUAGCACAGAAAGCCACGUGCCUGACUGAGGCCACAGGGCAGGGGAGAGGAAUCCGCCAGAGAGACUGGAGGAAGGGAAGGACCUAGUGGCACGAACGUGGGCCCUUAGCCUCACGCUUGGCCUUGGCCUGUGCUUCCAAACAUUGAUUUUCACCAGCCCCCAAAUCCUGAUCUAAUUGCCCCAUUUUCAGUAUCAACUUCAUGUGUUGAUUCCAUUUUGGAAGAAAGUGAAGACAAAUAAAUGGCCACAUCUGUGUCCUC